rnacentral:lncRNA from 1 species
AACAAGGGAAGCAAACUAGAGUAACAAGGUACAAAAAGCUAGAACCACAAGAAACCAAAGAUCUAAAACUGAAAGUCAAUCCAUCAUAUCCCGCAACAGUCCCAUAGAAACAGUUUGGCAUCGGAGCUGCGCCAAGAAACAUGAGCCUCGAUAAGAAAAACCAAGAGCACAACCAACAACAACCCGACAGAACAGAAAGCGAGACCAAUCCGCAACAGAGCACAGCCACAAACACCAACACAUCAACUCCAGAAAGAUAAAGAGCUUGGGAGAAACUAAGCUCAAAGAAAACCUUGAAAAAGACUGAGGAAAAGCCAAAUAGGAACACCAACACUUACACGCGGACAAAGCGAACCAAUCAAAGCCAUCUACAGACAAAGACCGGUCACGACCUCGCAAGAGAAGGAUUGGAGAACGACACCACUGUUGUGCCUUGAAUCCAACCACUAAAACCUAUAAGAGUUUCAGAGGAGAGCUAUCAAAAUAGUUUCUAAACAAUAAACUUUAGGUUAAAAAACAACAAAAGAAAAUAAGUGGUCUUUACAAUAUCGUCAUUAUCAUAAAAGAAAAUAA